GCCGCCUUAGCUCAGUGGUUAGAGCAUCUGUUUUGUAAACAGAGGGUCGUCGGUUCGAAUCCGACAGGCGGCUCCA
rnacentral:tRNA from 1 species